rnacentral:misc_RNA from 1 species
UAGAGUUUUAUACUCCAAACCCCUGUUUAUCUACCUAAUCGUUGCUUCGGCAGGAGGCCCCAGGGCGGGGUCGCUGGGUGCCUGCCGGAGGUAUACAAACUCUUGUUUUUACCUGUACACCUCUGAGUUAAAAUCUAAUAAGUUA